GACGAACGCUGGCGGCGUGCCUAAUACAUGCAAGUAGAACGCACAGUUUAUACCGUAGCUUGCUACACCAUACACUGUGAGUUGCGAACGGGUGAGUAACGCGUAGGUAACCUGCCUGGUAGCGGGGGAUAACUAUUGGAAACGAUAGCUAAUACCGCAUAAUAUUAAUUAUUGCAUGAUAAUUGAUUGAAAGAUGCAAUUGCAUCACUACCAGAUGGACCUGCGUUGUAUUAGCUAGUAGGUGAGGUAACGGCUCACCUAGGCGACGAUACAUAGCCGACCUGAGAGGGUGAUCGGCCACACUGGGACUGAGACACGGCCCAGACUCCUACGGGAGGCAGCAGUAGGGAAUCUUCGGCAAUAGACGAAAGUCUGACCGAGCAACGCCGCGUGAGUGAAGAAGGGUUUCGGAUCGUAAAGCUCUGUUGUAAGAGAAGAACGGGUGUGAGAGUGGAAAGUUCACACUGUGACGGUAUCUUACCAGAAAGGGACGGCUAACUACGUG
rnacentral:rRNA from 1 species